rnacentral:antisense_RNA from 1 species
GGUAUCCAAAGAUUACUGAUGGAUCAUAUGUUGGGUAGUUAAUAAUACGUACAUCUCCACCACCUGGUGCCCAUGUAUCAUAUACUCCACCAAAGUACAUAGCCUUCCAUACAAGAAGGAAUGCACCACAUCCAAGAAGUACAAGGUGAAUUCCAAGAAUUGUUGUCAUCUUGUUCUUAUCUUUCCA